GUCAGUUAUAACUGUCAAAAGGAUAAAUGGACUCUUAAUGAGCUCAUUUCAUUCUGUGUGCAAGAGGAAGAGAGAUUGAAGCAAGACAAGACCGAAAGUGCUCAUCUGGCUAGCACUUCCAAGGAUAAGGGCAAACGAAGGAAUAAGGAUAAUAAGGUUGCUGCUUCUAAUGGCCUAGAACAAAAGAAACAGAAAGUUGAGGUAACAUGUUUCUUCUGUAAUAAGCCUGGACAUACUAAGAAGGAAUGUACCAAGUAUGCUGCUUGGCGUGUUAAGAAAGGGUUGCCUGAGUUACCGAAAACCAAGUGAUGCUGAAAGAUGCAUCUAUGUCGGAGACGGUCAGUCGGUAGAAGUGGAGGCAAUAGGGCACUUUAGAUUAUUAUUGAAAUCUGGUUAUUUUUUGGAUUUAAUAGAUACUUUCGUUGUACCGUCUUUCAGACGGAAUUUAAUUUCAGUUUCUGUUUUGGACAAAUCAGGUUAUUCUUGUUCAUUUGGAAACAAUAGAUUUGCAUUAUCUAUUAAUUCAAAUAUUGUAGGAACCGGUUUACUUAA